AGCGAACGCUGGCGGCAGGCCUAACGCAUGCAAGUCGAACGAACUCUUCGGAGUUAGUGGCGGAUGGGUGAGUAACACGUCGGAACGUGCCUUUAGGUUCGGAAUAACUCAGGGAAACUUGUGCUAAUACCGAAUGUGCCCUUCGGGGGCAAGAUUUAUCGCCCUUAGAGCGGCCCGCGUCUGAUUAGCUAGUUGGUGAGGUAAAGGCUCACCAAGGCGACGAUCAGUAGCUGGGCUGAGAGGAUGGUCAGCCACAUUGGGACUGAGACACGGCCCAAACUCCUACGGGAGGCAGGCAUGGGGGAUCUUGCGCAAUGGGCGAAGGCCUGACGCAGCCAUGCCGCGUGAAUGAUGAAGGUCUUAGAAUUGUAAAAUUCUUUCACCGGGGACGAUAAUGACGGUACCCAGAGAAGAAGCCCCGGCUAACUUCGUG
rnacentral:rRNA from 1 species